GACGAACGCUGGCGGCGUGCUUGACACAUGCAAGUCGAACGGAAAGGCCUGCUUUCCCUUGUGGAUUGCGGGUACUCGAGUGGCGAACGGGUGAGUAACACGUGAGUGAUCUGCCCCCAACUUGGGUAUAAGCCUGGGAAACUGGGUCUAAUUCCCGAUAGGACUGCAGGGUGGUGCCUGUGGUGGAAAACGAUUUUCUAGUGGUUGGGGAUGAGCUCGCGGCCUAUCAGCUUGUUGGUGGGGUAAUGGUCUACCAAGGCGGCGACGGGUAGCCGGCCUGAGAGGGUGGACGGCCACAUUGGGACUGAGAUACGGCCCAGACUCCGACGGGAGGCAGCAGUGGGGAAUAUUGCACAAUGGGCGGAAGCCUGAUGCAGCGACGCCGCGUGGGGGAUGACGGCCUUCGGGUUGUAAACUCCUUUCGACCGCGAGGAAGCCACCUGGUUGGAAGGGUGGUGACGGUAGUGGUAGAAGAAGCACCGGCUAACUACGUG
rnacentral:rRNA from 1 species